GACGAACGCUGGCGGCGUGCUUAACACAUGCAAGUCGAGAGGAGCGGCGAACGGGUGAGUAACCCGUGAGUAACUGCCCCCCUCUCUGGGAUAACAGUUGGAAACGGCUGCUAAUACCGGAUAGUGGGGGAUGACUCGCGUCCUAUCAGCUUGUUGGUGGGGGAGGGGCCUACCAAGGCGACGACGGGUGGCCGGACUGGGGGGGGGACCGGCCACCUUGGGCUGAGAUACGGCCCAAAAGCCUACGGGAGGCAGCAGUGGGAAAUAUUGCACAAUGGGGGAACCCCUGAUGCAGCAACGCGCGUGCGGGAUGACGGCCUUCGGGUUGUAAACCGCUUUCAGCCAUGACGCGGUAGUGACAGAAGAAGCACCGGCUAACUACGUGCCAGCCGCCGCGGUAAUAC
rnacentral:rRNA from 1 species